GACGAACGCUGGCGGCGUGCCUAAUACAUGCAAGUAGAACGCACAGUUUAUACCGUAGCUUGCUACACCAUACACUGUGAGUUGCGAACGGGUGAGUAACGCGUAGGUAACCUGCCUGGUAGCGGGGGAUAACUAUUGGAAACGAUAGCUAAUACCGCAUAAUAUUGAUUAUUGCAUGAUAAUUGAUUGAAAGAUGCUAUUGCAUCACUACCAGAUGGACCUGCGUUGUAUUAGCUAGUAGGUGAGGUAACGGCUCACCUAGGCGACGAUACAUAGCCGAACUGAGAGGGUGGUCGGCCACACUGGGACUGAGACACGGCCCAGACUCCUACGGGAGGCAGCAGUAGGGAAUCUUCGGCAAUGGACGAAAGUCUGACCGAGCAACGCCGCGUGAGUGAAGAAGGUUUUCGGAUCGUAAAGCUCUGUUGUAAGAGAAGAACGGGUGUGAGAGUGGAAAGUUCACACUGUGACGGUAUCUUACCAGAAAGGGACGGCUAACUACGUG
rnacentral:rRNA from 1 species